GGGCUCUCCCCUGCUCUGGGAGGGGCUGUGGAAGAGAAGGAGGCGGAAGCGGAGACCUCUCCAGUCCGUCCUGGAGCCAGUAGGGAAGCGGCCGUUGUGGCAAAGCCCAGCGGAAGAAAGGCCAGAGGUCCGGGCUGCUCCCGGGCUGCUGAGUGCUGUCUCCGUGGCCGACUGACCGUGUCAUCAUUCAGCUGACCUGCCCUGCACCCUCCAGCCCCGGAAACCAUGGGCUCACGGACCCUGGCUCAGCGUGCUGCAGUCCCUUGAAGACACCGGGCUUGCAUUCCAGAGACGAGGAGCCACCGAGGGACAGCAGCCAGGCCCUGAGAUGAACAUCGCAGGAAGACAGCCCAGGUUUAUCUUACGGAGUUUUGGGACCGGGCUCCGGGCUUCCGUGUGUGGCAAACACCCGGAGGAUGUGCUGGAAGCCCGGGGUGCCUGCCCGCCGCUCUCAGGUCCUGGCGGAGAACCGGACAGAGGGCGGCUACGUGGUUUCCAGCGAACAUUCGCCGUCGGUGUUACCGCUAACACCUGCCUCUCCCCGCCAGCGCCACCGCGUCUCCCACCGAGGGGCAGAGGGAAGUUUCCUGGCUCCGCUUCCCCCAAGCAUCAGGUGGCUGGAGAUUCCCUAUUUACGUGGUGCUCCUGACCGGCAGGUGUGCUCUGGGAUUGGUGCCCCACAGGUGGCCUUGCAGGUGCCUGGCGUCCCCUCCCCCUGCCCCCACCGCCCCCCUGGGCUCCCCCAAGGGCUUGCUGCCCUCUGCCCGCCCUCUGCGGGCCCUCUGCCCACCCUCUGCCCACCCCACACACGCACCUGAUGGGCUCCUGGUCUUCCUUGUCUUCCUUGCUCUGUGCCACCCUGAUGCCACUUUUCUUUGCUCUCGGGCAACCUGAAAGACUAGAGAAGGGACACAGCCUCAGGACGCGUCCGCCCUGGUGUGGGCAGCCCCCUCCCCGCUGUCGCUGCUCAGAUUCUGUUUCUCCAGAAGCUGGAGCUGCUCCCCAUGAACACAAAAUUAUUCCGGGAGGAGGGACCUUCCGGGAACGGCCCCGCGUGUGCUCUCCAAGUCUUUAGACCCCAUCAGUCCCCUGGCGAGGGGGAGCACUGGGUGGCCGGGAACACCAGAGAGAGGCUGGGUGGCGGGCCCAGAAAAGGGGUAACGCUGAGGAGAAAACACACGCUCCCUCCGUCUCUUCUUUGGCGACCUGUUGUCUGCAGCCCGCUGCCCGGGCCCUGCCAUCUGGGGACAAUGACACCCGGUGGUCUGAUUCCUCUCAAGUACAGACUUAUUGUGAGUCUGCCGAAGGUGCAGGGGAAGUUGAACAUGAUUAUUUUAUUCAGUCGUCAAAAUUUUGGAAAUAGAAGCUCACUCUUAUCUAAAGGAAGACUUCCGGCUGGAACAGAAAACAUACAUGUCUGAUCAUGCACGUGGGCCAACAUGUAUGAACUGCACACGUGCUAACUUGCAUGAGCGUGUACACGGGCUAACAAUAGGCUGUGAUAUGAGAUUGUGCACGAGAACGUACAGAAUAAAUGCGAUUCUUGUGCAAAGACUGAAAAACCAGAAACUAGGCCAUUUACGGAGACGCGGGGACACACGGGUGCUGACUCGUCCGUGCCGACGUGCGGCCGUGGCCCAGGUGGGUACCCGUCACCCCUCCUCCGUUCCUGAGCUUGUGCCGUGCUUCCCGGUCAGUCCUGGCUGACCACGCUGAGUCUCAGGGUCCCCUCACCCAUCGCUGCGCUCUGCCCCCCCAGCAUCUUCCCUCCUGUCCUCUCGGGUAAGAAGCAGCACCCCACAGGCAGAGGGCGGGUGCUGGGGUUGGGGCUUCGGGCCCCGGGCGCUGCCCCCUCCUGUCUCCGUCGACAGGUGUCCCAACCCCUCUGGAACGUGGCCCGUCUGCUACGUCACCGUCUCCUUUAAUAGGAAUGUGGGAAAGACGAGAUGUGCCCGGAUCCUCUCCCUCCUGCUGCCUCUGGUCCUCCGUUUCAAGGUAAAAACUUGGAAAGUGGGUGUGCCGCUCCGUGGCUGUCCCCACUGCCGUCCGGCUCUGAUCUCUUGCCAGGAAGAGCGCUCUUUCCGGUCACCAUGAUCCGGAGCCGGAGGGCGCCCCUGGCCUCUUGCAGGCGAUGCUCCUCCGAGCCUGUCGGCAGCCUCGGCGUCUGGAGGGCCUGUGUCCCGGGAGGUCGGUGUCGUGUGCUGCCCUCGCUUGAGGCCUGAGCUCACACGUCCCUCGUGCUCCUGAGCCCCCGCCAGGCCCUCUGCCCGGGCAUCCUUCCCUUCCGGCAGAGCUCGCCUGAGCCCUCUGCCAUCCACGACAAAACUCAAGCCGUGCGUCCUAUGACUCCUGGUCACGUUUGGGCGACGCCCUUCAUUCCCGCUAAAGGUUAAACUCCUCGCCCUCAGUUCCCUCCACGUCUCGUGUGCUCCUCUCCGUGGAUGGCAUCGGCGUCUGCUCCCCGGCCCGAGAUGGAACUGAGCUCAUCCUUGGCCUUACUUGCCCGGGGUCCUGCUGGUUUUACGUCCCCCGUAUCUUCGGAACCAUCCCCCUUCUGCCUCCGCGACGCCGUGUCGGGACGGGCUGGCGUCAGCUCCGGGCUGUGUUAAGCCGCUCCAUUUAGGACCUUCCGGUGGGCCACCACCAAACGCCUCGCCGUGGGCACCGUGGGCCGGCCCCGCCCCCAGUGUCUGCCGGCUCUCCCGCCUGGCACACGCCCGCGCCCUCGCACGCUCUUCCGGCGCCACUGUCCCCGCCGUCUGCUGGCGGGCACAUCCCUCGAGGUGUGUUCCUCGGUGUGGGCGCCCUUCUGACAACCGGCCCUGGGAGCCCGCAGGGCCCUGUCCCCUGCGGGUGUUACUCGCGCUGUGCUGGAAGCCGUCCGCCCACCCGCCACAGGCUGCUGAGCCGCGAGUUCCGGGGGCGCGAGAGCCAUGUGCUCGGUCGCCCGCGUCCAGUCCCACACCGUGUGUCCAGCCGGGGGUCUGCGUGCGCCCGCGGCCCUUCCUGGCUUGGAUCCGGGGCCCUGCGGCCCGCGUUGCUUCCGCCCGCCGGCGGCCAUCCCCUCCUGGAUGUUCCCGUUACUUCCGAACGCGGCUUUCGGGUCCUCCCUGCGCGGUUUCCUCACGUGCAGUCAGGACACAAAUACUGGUCCCGUAGGACAGCGAGACCACACAGGCAACGUGUACAUCCAUGCUCGUGGUACAUAGUACGUGCUCGACACAUGCUACCUUUGCCAUCAGAGAACAUUCUGGAACCCUAAGCGAGCAGCUGCUCUCUGAGCCUGGGAGGCUGUCCUGGGGAGCCAGAGUCACGUGGUGGCUUGUGACAGCUCGAGGCUUUGGCACUCUUGCUGCAUGUGAGCCAUGGCAGGUCACAGGGAUCAGGAGCUCCUCGGGACCGUGUGCUGGGACCACGCUGGGUGGGGGUGGGGGGGCCGCUGCGCUGGCAGGAAACAGCCGGCCUGGGAAGGGCCAGCUCGAGCAAUGGAUCCUUGUUGUCCUUGUGGACAGGGCCGUGGUCUCUGUGGACCCCUCCAGCCUCACCUGGCAGACGCGGUCCCUCUUGUCACUGAGGACCGAGGGAGGCAGCACAUGUGACGGUGGGCUGGGUUGUUUUUUUUUUUAUUUUUUUAAGUUUAUUUAUUUUGAGAGAGAGGGAGAGACAGAGAAUACCAAGCAGGGGCUCGAACUCGAACUCAAAAACCGUGAGCAGAACCUGAGCUGAAAUCAAGAGUCAGACGCUUAACUGACCGAGCCCUCCAGGCGUCCAGUUUGUUUUGUUUGUUUUGUUGUUGACGGAACCCUAGAGACCGCCAGCAAAUAUGGAUUGUACUGAAUUCAGGGAAGCGUCAGAGCUGGUGCAGAGACGAGAAAAUCGCACCAUGAAAACGGAAAUGGAGCGUGCACAGGCCAGAACCUCUCCCACCCAGAGCCGGGACUGGGCGACCUUCUGGGUGGGGAGGUGGCCAACUCUGAACCUGUUUCCUCCGUGCGAGAGGACACGACCUCACCUAACACCGGCGUGGCCCUGAGAGCUGUGGAGGACCGCGCACUGUCCCCGGCUCCCGGCUGAGAGGGGCACCUGGCCUCUGUGCCCCAGUCAGGAGGGCGGCCGGCCCACAGCGACGCCCCAGGCCGGGCCUGACCGCAUGCUUUCCCUGGAGAGGGAGGGGGGCUCAGCAUCCACAGCCCCCGUUCUGGGCCCCUGUUUCCUGGGAGACCCGGGACGGCAGGAGGGCUGCGUGGGCUCACGGCUGCCUGAGUUGUGGCACCGUUUUAAAGACGUUUUCUCUGUUGUUUGCUCAUCGGUAACAUUCCUCGCGUCCCUGGGAAGCGACAGUGGACGGUUAACCCUGAAAGCAGGUUCUCUCCUUGUGUUUGGGCCUCGUGAGCGGCAGGCCUGGGGGCUCCGUGCCAGCCUCUCCUUCCUCAGUGGCCGCCCGAGGGAGCUGCCAGCCAUGUCUGCGCUUCCCCGGGUGGUGGCCUCACCCAGUGGGACAGACGGCAUGGCCCUGUGCGCCGCUUGGACUUUCGGGGCGCUCCUGUGGGGGGCGCUGGCUGUGCUCAGCUUUGCCGGGAACCGGGUCAGAUUCACGUGCCCGGGCUUGGCUUUUCAGGAAACCUGGGCUUUGUGAUAUUUUAUUCAUAGGUUUGUGCUCUAUCAAUACCUGCCUCUCUAACCUAGAAGCUCAGGGAAUAAAAAUGGGGAAACUGAAUUAACACAUUACGUGUCACCAAGCCCAAAGAGAAAUCAGUAGCGGAACAUGCAUUUGGAUGUGGACUGACCACCAAAUGUCCACUUUUAGCUGUGCAGACACCGUGCUGGGAGUCGUGGUCACGUGAGGACGCAGACAUUUCUUUUCAAGAUAAAUUAAAGGGUAGCGUAGAAUGUACUUGGCGUUUCCCACUUAACUGGAGGGUUCACUUUCACCGAAUUCACUCUGGACCAGUGACUUCACACUGGCGGUGUGUUUGUGGGUGUUUUUUCCUGCUCUGCACUCCCCUGACCGCGGCGGGCUCCAAGCUGCCCCCCAGCCUGCUCCCCCCGCCGUGGUCCUCGGGUGGCUCCGGGAAACAUUCGGUGACGUCCAGAGACUUUCCGCAGCCAUCACGAGCCACGGCGGCGGUGGUACUGGCGUCUGGUGGGCAGACGUCCCACCGUGCACUGGGCAGGGUGCCGUCCGGCCCCCAGUGUCCGCAGGGCCCAGGCGGGUGCCCCUGGCAUAGAGGACGCAUGUGAGGAAUCCUCCCGUGACCCCACCGUUCAGUUCUCCAUUCCUAAGCUGCGCUUUUCACAGAUCCGAGCGGCUGAGGAGUGCUCCGGAGUGAGCCUGGGAGCACGGGGCACGCGGUGGGAUCCCAAUGAGGAGGCUGCAUCUGCCCUCCUCCAAACCGGGCCGGCAGCCGCUCAGCGUCCCCUGCUCUGACCACUGGCAUCUGACCACUCGGGCGGCCACGGGCAGCACACGAUCCACUGGCAAGCACCCUCCCUGUGCUGGGUGGCCGGCGGCUAACUCUCAUUGUCAGGGGCCUCUGCACCCCCGUCCCCCUGUCCCCCUCUCUGCCCCUCUCUCUUCUCUCCCCCUGUCUCCCCCCUCCGCCUCGCCCUCCCUUUCCCUCUCUCCCCCUCCUCUCCGUCCUGUCUUCUUUAUUUCCUCGUGGGAGGUGCAUCCGAAGCCCGGAUGCUCAUCCACUUGGGGACCGCCCACUUUAUGCUGGGAAAUGCAGACAGUGACCCAGCAGCAGUGUCAGUCUCUGUAUUUGCAGCACCACCUCCCACUGUUGGAUGGGCCUUAGCUCCUGAAUUCCUUGUCCCGACCUUGGCCUUGCCUGUUCUUGCUCACUGAACAGGACAAGAAAUUGGUGCGGUGACCCCAGGUCUAGAUCCACUUUUGUGGACACAAGGUCUCCAGAGUUUCUUUCAGGUCACUUCCAACGCCUGGCCCGGCACCCAGGAGGGAGACUUCAGGCUGCUCUUUGGACAAUCCCUUCCCCUUGGGAGCAGCAGGGCCUGUGACGAGUCGUGUCUUCAGCUCUGCUACUGGGGCUCAGAUUUUCAUAUUUAGGAGGCCGGCUCCCAGCGGUGUUGGAACGCCUGCCUCUCAGUGGCCGUCCCAGGGACCUUAUUCUCUGCCAGCGAUGGUCCUUUGCCCCGUCCUCUUCUGCUUUAGAACGGCUGCUGCUGGAUGACCCGAGGAGUCUCUCACAGGCGGACGCA